UGGGGAAUUUUGGGCAAUGGGGGAAACCCUGACCCAGCAACGCCGCGUGAAGGAUGAAGUAUUUCGGUAUGUAAACUUCGAAAGAAUAGGAAGAAUAAAUGACGGUACUAUUUAUAAGGUCCGGCUAACUACGUGCCAGCAGCCGCGGUAAUACGUAGGGACCAAGCGUUGUUCGGAUUUACUGGGCGUAAAGGGCGCGUAGGCGGCAUGACAAGUCACUUGUGAAAUCUCUGGGCUUAACCCAGAACGGCCAAGUGAUACUGUCGCGCUAGAGUGCAGAAGGGGCAAUCGGAAUUCUUGGUGUAGCGGUGAAAUGCGUAGAUAUCAAGAGGAACACCUGAGGUGAAGACGGGUUGCUGGGCUGACACUGACGCUGAGGCGCGAAAGCCAGGGGAGCAAACGGGAUUAGAUACCCCCGUAGUCCCUGAGCGGGCUGGCAAGGCGCAU
rnacentral:rRNA from 1 species